UUUGAUGAUAUAAAAGAAAAACGAACAAAAAGUUAAAGUUUUCUUGACUCAUAUCUUGAGACUCCUAGACUCACAGCUUCACGCCAUGAGGAGCGAUCGAGAGCUAGUGCCUCCCAGCCGUGAAUGUCGAUAACGCAUUCCUUAAAGGAGCUCUUGAGAGUGUCUUUGUAGCGCUUGUAUUGGCCUCCCUAGGAGCGCUUUCCUGCACACAAAUCCCCGU